rnacentral:rRNA from 1 species
GACGAACGCUGGCGGCGUGCUUAACACAUGCAAGUCGAACGGAAAGGCCCUGCUUUUGUGGGGUGCUCGAGUGGCGAACGGGUGAGUAACACGUGAGUAACCUGCCCUUGACUUUGGGAUAACUUCAGGAAACUGGGGCUAAUACCGGAUAGGAGCUCCUGCUGCAUGGUGGGGGUUGGAAAGUUUCGGCGGUUGGGGAUGGACUCGCGGCUUAUCAGCUUGUUGGUGGGGUAGUGGCUUACCAAGGCUUUGACGGGUAGCCGGCCUGAGAGGGUGACCGGCCACAUUGGGACUGAGAUACGGCCCAGACUCCAACGGGAGGCAGCAGUGGGGAAUAUUGCACAAUGGGCGGAAGCAUGAUGAAGCAACGCCGCGUGCGGGAUGACGGCCUUCGGGUUGUAAACCGCUUUCGCCUGUGACGAAGCGUGAGUGACGGUAAUGGGUAAAGAAGCACCGGCUAACUACGUG